rnacentral:tRNA from 1 species
NUUUUUAUAGUUUAAAGNAAAACUAUACNUUUUCAUUGUAUAAAUAGAAAUUUUUCUUAGUUAA